rnacentral:rRNA from 1 species
UUGCAGUUGAUACUGGCUGUCUUGAGUACAGUAGAGGUGGGCGGAAUUCGUGGUGUAGCGGUGAAAUGCUUAGAUAUCACGAAGAACUCCGAUUGCGAAGGCAGCUCACUGGACUGCAACUGACACUGAUGCUCGAAAGUGUGGGUAUCAAACAGGAUUAGAUACCCUGGUAGUCCACACAGUAAACGAUGAAUACUCGCUGUUUGCGAUAUACAGUAAGCGGCCAAGCGAAAGCAUUAAGUAUUCCACCUGGGGAGUACGCCGGCAACGGUGAAACUCAAAGGAAUUGACGGGGGCCCGCACAAGCGGAGGAACAUGUGGUUUAAUUCGAUGAUACGCGAGGAACCUUACCCGGGCUUAAAUUGCAUUUGAAUAAUCUGGAAACAGGUUAGUCGUAAGACAAAUGUGAAGGUGCUGCAUGGUUGUCGUCAGCUCGUGCCGUGAGGUGUCGGCUUAAGUGCCAUAACGAGCGCAACCCUUAUCUUUAGUUACUAACAGGUCAUGCUGAGGACUCUAGAGAGACUGCCGUCGUAAGAUGUGAGGAAGGUGGGGAUGACGUCAAAUCAGCACGGCCCUUACGUCCGGGGCUACACACGUGUUACAAUGGGGGGUACAGAAGGCAGCUACCUGGUGACAGGAUGCUAAUCCCAAAAGCCUCUCUCAGUUCGGAUCGAAGUCUGCAACCCGACUUCGUGAAGCUGGAUUCGCUAGUAAUCGCGCAUCAGCCAUGGCGCGGUGAAUACGUUCCCGGGCCUUGUACACACCGCCCGUCAAGCCAUGAAAGCCGGGGGUACCUAAAGUACGUAACCGCAAGGAGCGUCCUAGG